AAUUGUGGGUAAUCGCGGUCGGCUUAAGUCGGCUGAGGAAAGUCCAUGCUCGCACAGACUGCGAUGUCUGUAGUGUUCGUGCUCGGUGAAAAAAUAAGCCGGGGGACUUCGAAAGAAGUUACGGCGGGGAAAAGCGCUAAGGUUUCGGCUAUGCGUGAAUACCUCUGAAAGUGCCACAGCGACGAUGACGCUAUCGGAAACGGUAGUGGUGGAACGUGGUAAACCCCUCGAGCGGGCAACCCAAACUACGGUAGGGGCGCUUCACACACGGAAAUGAACUAAGUUGUGGGGGGAGAGUUUUUACUCUCGAGAUAGAUGAUUACCGCUUGACCUAACUGUCCCUGGCAUUAGGUGAAGUACGGAACAUGGCUUACAGCG
rnacentral:RNase_P_RNA from 2 species